AAAAGAAACCAACAGGGAUGCCCUAGUAACGGCGAGUGAAGCGGCAACAGCUCAAAUUUGAAAUCUGGCCCUCGGGUCCGAGUUGUAAUUUGUAGAGGAUGCUUUUGGUGAGGUACCUUCCGAGUUCCCUGGAACGGGACGCCAUAGAGGGUGAGAGCCCCGUCUGGUUGGAUACCAAACCUCUGUAAAGCUCCUUCGACGAGUCGAGUAGUUUGGGAAUGCUGCUCUAAAUGGGAGGUAUAUGUCUUCUAAAGCUAAAUACCGGCCAGAGACCGAUAGCGCACAAGUAGAGUGAUCGAAAGAUGAAAAGCACUUUGAAAAGAGAGUUAAAAAGUACGUGAAAUUGUUGAAAGGGAAGCGCUUAUGACCAGACUUGGACUUGGUUGAUCAUCCUGGGUUCUCCCUGGUGCACUCUUCCAGUUCAGGCCAGCAUCAGUUCGCUGCGGGGGAUAAAAGUUUUGGGAAUGUGGCUCCCUCGGGAGUGUUAUAGCCCAUUUCAUAAUACCCUGCUCCGGACUGAGGUUCGCGCAUCUGCAAGGAUGCUGGCGUAAUGGUCAUCAGCGACCCGUCUUGAAACACGGACCAAGGAGUCGUCUUCGUAUGCGAGUGUUCGGGUGUUAAACCCCUACGCGUAAUGAAAGUGAACGCAGGUGAGAGCUUCGGCGCAUCAUCGACCGAUCCUGAUGUUCUCGGAUGGAUUUGAGUAAGAGCAUACGGGGCCGGACCCGAAAGAAGGUGAACUAUGCCUGUAUAGGGUGAAGCCAGAGGAAACUCUGGUGGAGGCUCGCAGCGGUUCUGACGUGCAAAUCGAUCGUCAAAUAUGGGCAUGGGGCGAAAGACUAAUCGAACCUUCUAGUAGCUGGUUUCCGCCGAAGUUUCCCUCAGGA
rnacentral:rRNA from 1 species